CGACCCGCGAACCUGUUCAGCACACGCCCCGGCGCCGGCGGGGUGCCCCGCGGCCCCACCCGGGGGCGGCGGGAGCGCCGGCGGCCCCGACAACGAACCCCGGCGCGGGACGCGCCAAGGACAACCCCAACGAGAUGGCACGCCCCCGGCGCCCGUUCGCGGGCGACGAGGGGCGGUGGCUUCUUUCGCGAACCGAAACGACUCUCGGCAACGGAUAUCUCGGCUCUCGCAUCGAUGAAGAACGUAGCGAAAUGCGAUACUUGGUGUGAAUUGCAGAAUCCCGCGAACCAUCGAGUCUUUGAACGCAAGUUGCGCCCGAGGCCGUCAGGCCGAGGGCACGUCUGCCUGGGCGUCUCGCAACGCGUCGCCCCCCGACCCCCUCCUGCAGGGGCGCCGGGGGGCGGACACUGGCCCCCCGUGAGCCGCGGCUCGCGGUCGGCCCAAAAACCGAGCCGCCGGCGACGGACGGCGCGGCGAGUGGUGGAGAACGACUACGUGCCGCGCCCGUCGUCGCGGGCGGUCUCGCGCGACCCCGAAGCGGCGAGAGCAUCGACCGCGACCCCAGGUCAGGCGGGAUCACCCGCUGAGUUUAAGCAUA
rnacentral:rRNA from 1 species